UACGGAAGGUGCGAGCGUUAAUCGGAAUUACUGGGCGUAAAGCGCACGUAGGUGGUUUUUAUAAGUCGGAUGUGAAAGCCCCCGGGCUUACCACUGGGAAUUGCAUUCGAGACUGCAUUGCUGGAGUACGGAAGAGGAAGGCGGAAUUCCCCGGUGUAGCGGUGAAAUGCGUAGAUAUGGGGAGGAACACCGGUGGCGAAGGCGACCAUCUGGACGGAUACUGACGCUGAGACGCGAAAAGCGUGGGGAGCAAACAGG
rnacentral:rRNA from 1 species